GUGGGGAAUAUUGCACAAUGGGCGAAAGCCUGAUGCAGCAACGCCGCGUGAAGGAUGAAGGGUUUCGGCUCGUAAACUUCUAUCAAUAGGGAAGAAAGAAAUGACGGUACCUAAAUAAGAAGCCCCGGCUAACUACGUGCCAGCAGCCGCGGUAAUACGUAGGGGGCAAGCGUUAUCCGGAAUUACUGGGUGUAAAGGGAGCGUAGGCGGCAUGGUAAGCCAGAUGUGAAAGCCUUGGGCUUAACCCGAGGAUUGCAUUUGGAACUAUCAAGCUAGAGUACAGGAGAGGAAAGCGGAAUUCCUAGUGUAGCGGUGAAAUGCGUAGAUAUUAGGAAGAACACCAGUGGCGAAGGCGGCUUUCUGGACUGAAACUGACGCUGAGGCUCGAAAGCGUGGGGAGCAAACAGGAUUAGAAACCCCAGUAGUCC
rnacentral:rRNA from 1 species